rnacentral:lncRNA from 1 species
UAAUGAUAGAUUUCAGGAUAUAAUUGGAUUAUAUCAAGCCCUAAUGAUAGACAAAAGAUGCUAGAAAGUUUCUCAUAUGAUGAUAAACUUUAAUCAGAAGGACAACUCUAGUGAGACUAGGAAGUUGCUCUUCUCAAAGGGAACAUACCCUUUUGACUCCUAAAGAAACAUAAUGCAUAAAUAGAAUCCUUUAUGCAUACGCAGAAAGGUGAUUUACGUAUUUCAUAAUGUAUGCAAAACAUUGAUAUGAGUUGUACCUAGAACGGUACAAGACAAUAUCAAUGCAUGCCCAGGAUCAGAACCAUGGCAACUAUCAAGUGAGUCCUUAAGUAUUUAAGAAAUACUAAGGGUAUAUAUUCCUCAAAGAAUGAGGAAGAAUUAGAGUAACAUAAUGGAAG